AAAACUAGCUUAAAAGUAAGGGAGAAUGACAUUGAGGUCCCACAGAAGCCAAAAUACAGCAAAAAAGUCCCCUGAAAUGUCAUAAUUUUUCUGAAGUCCCAAAGGGACUUAGAUGCAAUUUUAAUAAUCCACAAAUUACUCUCUUGCCCCUAAAGUG